rnacentral:rRNA from 1 species
AUUGAACGCUGGCGGCAGGUCUAACACAUGCAAGUCGAACGAGUGGCGGACGGGUGAGUAAUGCCCGGGAAACUGCCUGAUGGCGGGGGAUAACUACUGGAAAAGGUCGCUAAUACCGCAUACCAUCGGAUGUGCCCAGCUGGGAUUAGCUAGUAGGUGGGGUAAAGGAUCACCGAGGAGCCGAUCCCUAUCUGGUCUGAGAGGAUGACCAUCCACACUGGAACUGAGACACGGUCCAGACUACUACGGGAGGCAGCAGUGGGGAAUAUUGCACAAUGGGCGCAAGCCUGAUGCAGCCAUGCCGCGAGUAGGAAGAAGGCCUUCGGGUUGUAAAGUACUUUCAGCGGGGAGGCGUUACCCGCAGAAGAGGCACCGGCUAACUCCGUGCCAGCCGCCGCGGUAAUUC